UUUUAUCUUUAUCCAAAGUUUAUUGCUUGCAUCCAGUUGGUUUAUUAUUCAAGCGUUUUAAAUUCAGAUCACACGCUUUUCAUUUUAUUUUCUUAACACAAAUUAUCUUUGAGAUUUUUAGAGUUAAUCUUUUAAGUGAACUAAACUCGUGAUUGUUUACUAAAAACACCAAUAAACAAAUAGACACGCCCAAUGAGACCAUUUUAUGUAAAAAGUAUUUUUUUUUUGCAGAAAAUUUGUGUCAUUUUCGUCCAAUUUUU
rnacentral:lncRNA from 1 species